ACGCAAAUAUCCCCUUCACCGCAGAAACACGCGGAUCCUGAGGCCGGACGAGUCUGGUCGCGGGUCAGAGACCAAAACGACGCCAUUUUAGGGCUAUUGUAACAAGCCCUAAACGACGCCGUUUGGUCGACCUACAAAAGUCGCGUUUUAAAAAAAAAUCAUUUCCCCAUUAUUUUCCAAAAAAAAAUGAGAGUUUCCUUUCAAAACUCUCUUUCUUCGGCCGUUGAGUUUUCUCGGGCCUCCGCUGCGCCGCCUCCAUGGCCAGUGGCCAGAGUCGCGUGAAACGAGCUUUUCAGCCCUCACUUCACGGCGUCCCCAAAGAC
rnacentral:lncRNA from 1 species